AGUGAACGCUGGCGGUAGGCCUAACACAUGCAAGUCGAACGGCAGCACAGUAAGAGCUUGCUCUUACGGGUGGCGAGUGGCGGACGGGUGAGGAAUACAUCGGAAUCUACUUUUUCGUGGGGGAUAACGUAGGGAAACUUACGCUAAUACCGCAUAUGACCUACGGGUGAAAGCAGGGGAUCUUCGGACCUUGCGCGAUUGAAUGAGCCGAUGUCGGAUUAGCUAGUUGGCGGGGUAAAGGCCCACCAAGGCGACGAUCCGUAGCUGGUCUGAGAGGAUGAUCAGCCACACUGGAACUGAGACACGGUCCAGACUCCUACGGGAGGCAGCAGUGGGGAAUAUUGGACAAUGGGCGCAAGCCUGAUCCAGCCAUACCGCGUGAGUGAAGAAGGCCUUCGGGUUGUAAAGCCCUGUUGUUGGGAAAGAAAAGCAGCAGGUUAAUACCCCGCUGUUCUGACGGUACCCAAAGAAUAAGCACCGGCUAACUUCGUG
rnacentral:rRNA from 1 species